UUCAUGUUCCGCAGAAAACUUAUUGAAGCAUGUCGCAAAAAAGGAAAAAAAGAGUCAUGUAAGAAUGAAUCUCCAGAUGAGGAAAGUCGUAGUUUCCUUGACAGAGCACCCACACUUCCCUCUAAUCAGAAACUUCGCCAACCGAACCAA